rnacentral:lncRNA from 1 species
UCUGACUUCUCCAAAAGGAUCGUUGGGUACCUGUCUAAUAUGGACCUGAGAAUACAAGCAGUUUGAAAAUCAGCAUAAAUCUGGUGAGUUCAUAAGAUGUUUGUUUUCUGAAAAUGUACGAGUUCGCUUUUGUUUUCGAAAAAGAUUGUUAUCCAAGAAAAUCCUAUAUUUUCUUAUAUGUAAAGUUUGAUUAACUGUUUUACUACACGAAUCUGGUUAUGUACAAUUGUCAUCCCAGGAAAAUCCUAUAUUUUCCUAAAAGUAAUGUUUCGUUAUUGAACUGCAAUGAAUACUUGAUUAUCUAUUAUACUUGUCAUAUUAGCUAGGUAUUCUGAUAUCCUAAUCGUGUUACACAUGAAUGUAACUAGACGUGUGCCUUCAUUUUCGUAUUCUUAUCCUUGAUCAUAUACAUAUUCAUAUUUUAUAUUUGUGUUUGUAUUUAUAUUUGUAGUCCUAUUCAUAUUCGUAUUUGCAUUCGUAUUCGUCUUCGCAGUCGUAUUCGUAUCCCUAUUCCUACUCCUAAUACUAUUCGUAUUCGUAUCCGUAUUCGUAUUCGUAUUCGUAUUCGCAGUCGUAUUCGUAUCCCUAUUCCUACUCCUAAUACUAUUCGUAUUCGUAUUCGUAUUCGUAUUCGUAUUCGUAUUCGUAUUCGUAUUCGCAGUCGUAUUUGUAUCCAUAUUCCUACUCUUAAUAAUAUUCGUAUUCGUAUUCUUUCUAAUCCUAGUUAUACUUUCGUAUUCGUUAUGUUCCUAAUUGUGCUUUCGUAUUCGUUGUGUUCCUAGUUGUGCUUUCGUAUUCGUUCUGUUCCUAGUUGUGCUUUCGUAUUCGUUCUGUUCCNUUAAUUCGGAUUCUCGCAUGGCAUUUCGUGGAACCUUUUACUUCUCGAGAGACGACUUGCUUCAUACAUUUAACCUUUUGAUCUAUGAUUUCGAUUGAUUCUACCAUGAGGUUCAGACUUUUGACGAUUUUGGUCUCAUCAAAGGGAGUACUAUGGUUUCAUCAGGUAGACACUUCUUAAGGACAGAGACGGGGAAUACUGGGUGGAUGCCACUAAGUCAUGAGGGUAGUCGGAGUUCGUAGGUUACGGGAUCAAUCCUAAUGAGGAUUUCGAAAAGUACUGUGUUCCUUGGGAUACGUGUUUCAGAAUGUAACACACCAUCUUUCUCAUUGUUGGCUACCUAGAUGGAGGACGUUUCGGUAACUAAUUGAGGACUAUGUUUAUGAAGAGAUUCGGAUGAAUAGGUAACAGUUUAUCUUUUAGGACUAGAAUUGAAAAAGAAUUGCCAGCAGAAGGGUUGUCGAAGAGGAAUAUACCUGAGGCAAUGGUGGGAUCGGCGGCUGUCUCACCUUUCCCUAUAGCUAGGACUCUUCCAGUGUUGCCAGUUGUUACUGUAUUGGGGCAGUUUCUCUUAUAAUGCCCGACUUUACCGCAACCAAAACAGGUCUGACUGAUGCCUGCUCCGAAAGCCUGGUUUAUUGGUGUUCUGCAACUCCACGCAAGGUGACCCUCUUGGCCACAAUUUUUGCAAAAUUUUACAUGACAGGGACCGGGGAUGUAGUGGUGGUAACUGCACUGGUUACACCACGGGAGAACACCGGCAUAUCCGGUGAUAGGUGCUUAGGCUGAGGAAUCGAUGACAGAUACGACAGCAGGGGUAGUGGCAGCAUGGACAGCCAACAUCUGUUGUCUCUUUGAGAACUCCUGCGAGGGCUGACAUUUCUCCCUCGCCUCCCAAAACUUUCUUUUCUCACCACUUCUUUUUGUCGGCUCAGGAGUGGUGGCCGCUUCCUCUACAUCCUCACUAUGGUCGAUCAAGAUUUGCGCUAGGCAUUUGGCGCUGUCGUAUGUAUCCGGCUUCGCAGCUAAAACGUUUCCUUUGGUUGGCUGGGUCAACCCCCAGAUGAACCUCUCUACCUUUUUGCUUUCCGGGGUAACCAUCCCCAUACAAAGAAGUGCCAAGUCGUCAAACCUUGAAGUGUAAGCGGUGAUAUCAGAAACUUUCAUCUUUAGGUUCCAGAGUUCAUGCUCCAGCUUCUGAAUUUCACCCCGAGGGCAAUACUCUGCGUGCAGAAGUUCCUUCAUAACUUCCCAAACCAUAGCAUUGGCUACAGGUAGAGUUAGGGAUUUGACUCGGCCGUUCCACCAAGUCAGAGCUUUAUUGGUGAGAGUGCAGGCGGCAAAUUUCACCUUGUCGAAUUCUGAACAAGCACAGAUCUUGAAGAUAGAUUCGAUCUUCUCUAACCACCAAGUUAGAGCAAUGACGCCUCCUGUGCCAUUGAAGAAUGUGGGUUUUGCAUUCAUAAAGUCCUUAUAGGAACACUCCUUUCGGUGUCCCGGGCUACCUUCCUGGUUUUGAGGCUGGGGACCACUUCCUGAACUACCGGGGAUCGUUUGCGACAUGGCUGCUGAAAAUGCUGCAGUUAAAACUGUCUGAACGGUUUCCAGGUCGAUUUGAAGAGAAGGUGGUAGUGGAGGAGGAUUGUUGUCGGUCUUUGAACUGGGUCUCUUUCUUGGAGGCAUCUUGAUCUAAUAAGAUCAGGAAAGAAAGGAUGGUAAGUCCUCCGAAUUGAAUCAAGAGAUAUGAAACAAGGGAUAUCUCUUUACGACAGGCAUAGAAUUCUAUUUAAGCGAUAAAGCAGGAAUGAAUUAUCAAAACAGAUAAAUUAUCGCUAAAGGAAUGAUUGAGGAGCAACGCUGGGAUGAGGAUUUCUAUAACGGAUUUGGCUCGAGAAAUACUCCCAUAGUAUUUCAUGUCUCGCUGCAGCGACGGAUCAUUGUUUGGGUAUUGGGUAAGUUUUAGGCAUGCUGUACACCACAGUCACUCCCGAGCACAUGUUGGCCGUGUCUCGAAUGAAUAUAGUUGGCUAGGCUAUAUUGAUCCUAGACACGACUACAUAACUUCCAGGUUUAACCGCAAAGUACAACACCCAUUUACUUAUGUUUUGUUCUACUUGUAGUUAUGGAUCUCGACGGUUUGGUAUACUUGUAUACUAUUGAAAAUAGUUAUAUUCGAGGUAUACUUUUAGUUCAGAGCACUUAGGCCCUUUAGUGUUUAUAGUUUUAUACCAUGUAACGUAUGGUAUACUAGUUCACUAUAAACAAGGGCUCUGAUACCAAACUAUCACACCCCGAAAACCGAAGGCGAAAACAUUUCCGGGGCGGACUCCACAUUGAGUAUCAAAUCCAAAGUACAUAGUAAGCAAGUAAACAACCAUUACAUUACAUAUUAGAAUUUACAUUUGUUCAAAAGUAAAGUGUUACAAGUUUAUACAUAUAUCAUAAGAACAAAAGUAGAGACGAGUCUUCUGUACGCUCUGUCUUCUCCAAAAGGAUCGUUGGGUACCUGUCUAAUAUGGACCUGAGAAUACAAGCAGUUUGAAAAUCAGCAUAAAUCUGGUGAGUUCAUAAGAUGUUUGUUUUCUGAAAAUGUACGAGUUCGCUUUUGUUUUCAGAAAAGAUUGUUAUCCAAGAAAAUCCUAUAUUUUCUUAUAUGUAAAGUUUGAUUAACUGUUUUACUACACGAAUCUGGUUAUGUACAAUUGUCAUCCCAGGAAAAUCCUAUAUUUUCCUAAAAGUAAUGUUUCGUUAUUGAACUGCAAUGAAUACUUGAUUAUCUAUUAUACUUGUCAUAUUAGCUAGGUAUUCUGAUAUCCUAAUCGUGUUACACAUGAAUGUAACUAGACGUGUGCCUUCAUUUUCGUAUUCUUAUCCUUGAUCAUAUACAUAUUCAUAUUUUAUAUUUGUGUUUGUAUUUAUAUUUGUAG